CCUACGGGGGGCAGCAGUGGGGAAUAUUGGACAAUGGGGGCAACCCUGAUCCAGCCAUGCCGCGUGUGUGAAGAAGGCCCUCGGGUUGUAAAGCACUUUCAGUGAGGAAGAACGCCUGGUGGUUAAUACCCAUCAGGAAAGACAUCACUCACAGAAGAAGCACCGGCUAACUCCGUGCCAGCAGCCGCGGUAAUACGGAGGGUGCGAGCGUUAAUCGGAAUUACUGGGCGUAAAGCGCGCGUAGGUGGCUUGAUAAGCCGGUUGUGAAAGCCCCGGGCUCAACCUGGGAACGGCAUCCGGAACUGUCAAGCUAGAGUGCAGGAGAGGAAGGUAGAAUUCCCGGUGUAGCGGUGAAAUGCGUAGAGAUCGGGUGGAAUACCAGUGGCGAAGGCGGCCUUCUGGACUGACACUGACACUGAGGUGCGAAAGCGUGGGUAGCAAACAGGAUUAGAUACCCUGGUAGUC
rnacentral:rRNA from 1 species